rnacentral:lncRNA from 1 species
CCGGGAAGGGCAGGAAGGGUCUGAGCAGUGGUGACAACAAGGCCGGGAGGCGGCAGGUCGAGGAGAGCCCAGCCCGGGCCGCGCGGCCCCGGGGCGGCCGCCUGGAGGGGGAGAGGCCGGCGGACCCGGCCUGGCGCCCGCGCGGCGUCGCUGCGCCCUCCCUGCGCCCUCCCCUCCGCUCCCCUCGGCUCCCCGCCCCGCGCCGCGCCGGAGCCGGGGGAGGAGCAGGGCUUCUUUCCGGCCGCGGUGGGCGCUCGGCCCCGCCGACCGGACGGCAGUGAAUCCCCGGGCGGGGCCUCGCGGGCGUCCCCGAAGAGAAAGACAGAAGAGUUGCUCUUCCCUCCUCCCAGGUUAACUCAAUGGUCCUAAUUAUUGACUCAUUCACUGACUCCCCGAACAGGGCGAUAAAGGCCCCCUUACACCACUUUCUUGAAAGGUUGGGGGGCGGGGAGGGGGGGGGGGGUGGUAAACUCCACGGUCAUUGCCGGAGACCGUUCCCAAGCGCUGCAGCCCCCGAGCAGCUGCUGAAAUGCCUCAGCCUCCCACGUCUCGGCCUGGCCGGCUGCCGCCGCAGGCGCAUUCCUGGCAGGUCCAGGAGUCAAGAAAAAUCCGCCAGAACAAGCCGUGCCUCGCUGCUCUCGGGUUACCAGCAGGUGGAAGGUGGGGCCGCCUCUGAUCGAAAUGGCUUUGACAGACGGCCGGCCGGAGUUCAAGGAUGUUUCCCGCUCGGCAGGCGGGGCUGCGGGGCUUCCCAGGACCCGGGUCCCUCCCGGCGGAGAGGAGCUCUCCUUUCCACAAACCCGGUGCUCCUUCUCCUCUCCGAGCUCUCGCCCAGCCCGCUGCCCUGCACGGCGAAAGAGAGCGUCCUGCCGGUCCCCCUCCUUUCCUCUGCGCUGAAAAUAGUUCCAAGGGAAGCCAGAGGUCACGGGGAUGGCCCUUCCGGCCUAAAGCUGCCCGAGGCCUUGUGAUCGUGUUCGCAUCUUCUCAAAAACGUACUGUCGGCCAGGACACCGGUGGGCUUUGCUUUCCAUUUUUACCUGGAAACUAUGGAAUUGAGUGUGAAUACUGAAUUCCGAGGGCCACUUGCCUCUGGGAACGAGCUGGGGUAUGGUCUUCACGCCGCAUCCGGUCCCGUGCAGGACAAUGCUGUUUAAAGGCUUGAUGAUACUGACGCUGAUUUACAGACUCAAUAGCAGGAAGAAUGUCACUAAACGACGACGACGGUGAUCAGCAGCUUCCCCCUCAGUCUGCUUGACUCAAAGCGCCAGCUCCCCCUGUGUCUUUAGACAGUUUAGGGACUGGGUUCACAGGAGUUCUAAACUGGGCAAGCCAUGGCUGGCGCAAAAGCAAUUCUUACUCCUCUCGAUUUUUUUUAAAAAAAUCAUCCUUGUGGUUUCUACUGUUCACCUUUCUACUUCCCUGAAACGCAUAAGCUCGUGUGCGCACCAAAGGCCUCUGAGCGCCCGCGGCUGCUGUUCACGCCUGCGGUUCCUGCUGGGCCCCUGCGCCUCUCUGUCCGCGGCUGCCUCCUGGGCUCUGCUCGGGAGGGCUGCACACCCCAGCACCCCCGCAAACGCGGCGUGGGAGUGGGGGAGGCUCCCCGGAGGCUUGUUCCACACCGUUUCCCGCGGACCCCGGUAGGAUUAGCCCAGCCCGCAGCGGCAUCCCGGGUCACGGGCGCACGAGGAUCAGCUUGCCUCCCUUCCCUGUUCCAUUUCCUGCUAAGAUUACUGCCAGGACACGUCACGAGCCUCGAGUCUUCGUCACAGUGGGCUCCCGGGGGGAUGCACACUGAGACAGCGAGCCCAGCCGCCGGCAGGCAGGAGAAGCUGAGCGGGGUGGAACCGAGAAGGGCCCCAGAGCCACGAACACCUGCACAGCCUCGCCUGACCCGCGCUCUGCCUCUGGCUCCCGCGUCCCCCUGGCCUCCCUCCCCUCUGCUUCUGGAAGAAGCGUCUCAGCACCAUCUUCUUGUGCCUGGGGGUGUGCCUCUCCGACUCUCCCCACUGCCUACCCAAACCAGCCUCCUCACCUUCUCUGGAAGGCCGGCCGCUGGGAGCACCCUUCCUGGAACAGCGGCGCAUGUGCAGAAGCACAGCUACAGUGAACAUUCCUGGGCAAGUGUGCUUGUGUGACAAUCUGCAAGAGUCCCUCAGGAAGGAUCUGCGUUUAGAGCCGGAAUGCUGAGACACAGACAGCUUUAGAUGUAAGAUUCAUGCACUAAAAUACCUCAAGGAAAAGCUAAAACGAAGAUUCAGGAAGUCUCUGUGCGCCGGGGUGAAGCUUUCCACACUGUGGAAGUCACCAUCCUCUCGGGAAGACCCAAAUUCCAGCAACCAGAGGGGAAACUACUGGAGAAUCUGCUCCUCAAAAAAGCGGAAGUAAAAGAAGAAAAAGGAAGACUUGAGAUACAGGAAAUAGAGGAUUUAGGAGACUAAGGAAAUUCCCAGGAGUUAACGAAAGGAUGUUCCAGAAGGACAGCUGUGCGGCAGCCCUGGACAGCAAGCCCACAUUUGAACAAGAAGAUUGAAAGCCAUGGGAGAGAAAUCUCCAGAGAGCGGAAAAUGGCACUGAUUGAUUUGCUGUGUUUAGCUUUCGGGAAAAGUUAUUUUUCAGUUGUUUGACAGAUAUGUUACAAUAUUGGAAAAAAAUAUAUAGCGAUAGAUACACAGGAACUAAGCAAAUAAAAAUAUAAACAAGGCAAUUAUUAGUUCUAGGAAGAAUAAAAACUUGUAUGAAAAAGGAAACAAAGUGUACUACCUGGACGAGCAGUAGAAAAGAUUUAUGUCAUCCUACUAACGUAAACAAUGACUGCUGAUAGAGCCAAAAAUGGAAAUUUCACUCUACUGGGAAGACGGGAGAGACCGAGUGGAGAGGGAGGGGUAAGACAACUACAGCCGCACCUACCAUCGUAUCAAGUUGACACUGUCUAGAAUUCAUAAACCAAGGAACUGUAGCCUAAGUAUAUUGAUUACAAUGUGGAAAAGCACAUAAAAGAAGUGAACUCCGCUGCCUCUGGUUGUCGGUUUGGGAGGUAAAGAGAAACAGUAAGGGGAGUGUUGUUUUUCAACAAGACUUACAGGGUUGUUUGUUGUUGCUGAGAAGUAACUGACAUAUAACAUUAUAUUAGUUCCAGAUGUAUUGGCUUUAAGGUUUUUUAAUCUCAAAAUAUGUAAAUAUGUUCAUGUACUACCUUGCAAAUGAAAAAAUAAAAAUAACAAACACAUUUAAAAAGGGCUCAUCUCGAGAAGGCAACUUCAUCAGAGAUGUCACUAACUUUAAGCAGCUGCUUUGAGAACCAUGUUGAGUGAUUCCAAUCUGAGGGUUAAAGAUCACAAUUUUGCUCUUUAAAAAAAAAUCCUGAAUUUAGGAAGCUAAUUCUAAUGCCCCAAAACUGAGAGAGAAGAAGCAAAAGAAUUAAGGAUGAGAGAGAUUCAAUAAGAGGAAGAGAAGUGAGGAGGGGAAAGUGAAAGAGCAAAUAAGUUAGAAAAAAGAAGUUGAAAAGGAAGUAAGCCUUGAAAGCUGAGGAGCUGUGGGAAGGCUCACGUGUUCAGUAGAAACUGGGAAAGCAGACAGACUUCCAGGGACCUGCGCUGGUCAUGCACACGUACAAACAGGAAGCACUUGGAAGGGAAGAUUUAACGCAGGCAAAUAAAGCAUUUUUUAAAAACUUACUGGUAAUUGAUUUGAAACUAGUUGCUAAAAAUAUUUUUUUUCCUUUGAGCCUUAGAAAGGAGAUCCAUGAAACUAUUUACCUAAAAGAGAGAAUAGAACUGAUACAUUUUGAGAGAGAAAAAGAACAUUUCCAAAGAGGCCGAAGGCUCUUCGCAGAGUGUGAGCAGGACUCCCAGGCGGGAGCACGGUAUUCCUGGGGGCAAAGGAAGAUCCGGGAAAACGGCUACUUAGAAAUAUAGGGUUCUUUUUUGUUUUUUCCUUAAUAGGAAGCAAGUUUUGACUCUGAAUUAAUACUCCUUUCCUUCUUCUAUACUUUAAUAACUAUCUGUGCUACAUAAAUUUCCAAAUGUUCUGAGUUUCUGGGUAAAAUUAUAUUUAAGGUCUCAUUUCCAAUCAUCCAACACAGUCUGAAAUUUGAAAGCUUGUGCAACACUAUGGAAACUACUGGUCACAGGCAGAUCAUUCUAAAGCAGAAGUUGCCAUUUUGGUGCCACCAUUAUUUAUGGCACCAGAAAUUCGAAGCCCUUUAAACCA